UUAUUUGUUCACAUGUCAAUACUGGUUGACAAUAACAUUAAACAACAACAAUGGACGUUAACAUGAAAAAUAAUCUCAACAAGGCCAUUAUAUACUAUACUUAAAGUUGAAACACAAAUUUCAUCAUUAACGACAACAAAGAACAAAUGAUUCAGUAAAUGCUUGAAGUAUUUCAGGUUUUUAAAUAGAAUAAUUAUGGGUAUACUGUGGAUUCAUUAUUAUUCGUUGGAUACCAACUUUCGUGGUUUUAGUGGGUACAGGUUAACAACGAAUUUAAAUAUUCAAGAAAUUACAAAUUUUAUAUCAGGUAGUAUGCAGAUUUUGGCAAAACCAAGAAAUCAAAUAACCACAAAAAUUGAUGUGAUUACUGGUACAGGGAAUUC
rnacentral:lncRNA from 1 species